CCCUUAGAUGUUCUGGGCCGCACGCGCGCUACACUGAUGCAUUCAACGAGCCUAUCCUUGACCGACAGGUCCGGGUAAUCUUUGAAUCUGCAUCGUGACGGGGAUAGAUUAUUGCAAUUAUUAAUCUUCAACGAGGAAUGCCUAGUAGGCGCAAGUCAUCAGCUUGCGUCGAUUACGUCCCUGCCCUUUGUACACACCGCCCGUCGCUCCUACCGAUUGGGUGUGCUGGUGAAAUGUUCGGAUCGGCCGUUAGUCGCGGUUUCCGCGGCUCGUGGCUGAGAAGUUCAUUAAACCCUCCCACCUAGAGGAAGGAGAAGUCGUAACA
rnacentral:rRNA from 1 species